UGGUUUCAACCUGUGAUCCUCAACUCUCAAGUCUCCUGAGUAGCUAGGAUUACAGGCGUGAGCCACCCAGCUCUUCCCCGGGGUUGUUUCUAACUGCCUACCAAUGGAGAUGUGCUAGAAAUAAACCCGAAGACCUUAACAAGGAGCUUGCUUAAACACCUUCCCCCCUGCUUUUAAGGCCCCUGAUGACUAGGGAGUAAGUCCAGUUCAUCCACCAAACAAAAAGUGAAGAUGGUGUUCCCCCCCAUACCCCCACCCCAAAUCUGGAGUCAAAUAGCUGCUCUUCUGACUGUGCCCACACCACGUUUACCCGAGUCUAAGGAAGGAAAGAGUUCAAGUCCCAGGCACCCGUGUUAACUGGAGCUGGGGCUCUUUUGAGCCUUGGAACUGCAUCUUAUUUAUUUAUUUAUGUAUUUAUCAAAGGGAUCAGGUCAAAAGUCCAGGCUGUGUUUCUAGGUGCUUUGGUCAUAGCCCCAGAUGAGGUCACUCACAGGGGGUCCGUGGACACAGAGCUGUAGCGCCUUCCCCUCCAGCUGGCUCUUGAGACCAUUUGGUAUCAUAAUCAAUCAGUGACAGAAACUGGUGGCUCAUGCCUGUAAUCCUCGCUACUUAGAGGAGGCUGAGACGCGGGGAGAGAAGCAAUCAUGUGAAUCCAAAGGACAGUAGAUGGCCAGCCCGCACAGCUGCCACGUCCCUCACUGCGUGUGUGGCGACCAGUCAGCUGAAGGACUGCUUUUGUGUUGGCACUUCCUGGCGCAUUCAGAUGGAGCUUCCUGUCCAUCAGGGCUGGCUGAAUAGUUCAAAUGGACUGUGGAGUUUCUUUUUGGUUUUUGUUUUUUUUAAGGCGCUAUCCCACUCGGUUUGCUUUUGAAAUGAGAAGACAUCGUGUGCCUUUGUUUCCUUUGACGUUUACCCAGCAUGCCUCAGUGCCAUAUUGCAGCACUGCCAAAGGAAGUGGAGACCUAUGACCUCUUGC